AACGAACGCUGGCGGCAUGCCUAACAUAUGCAAGUCGAACGAGACCUUCGGGUCUAGUGGCGCACGGGUGCGUAACGCGUGGGAACCUGCCCUUAGGUUCGGAAUAACUCCCCGAAAGGGGUGCUAAUACCGGAUAAUGUCUUCGGACCAAAGAUUUAUCGCCUUUGGAUGGGCCCGCGUUGGAUUAGCUAGUUGGUAGGGUAAAAGCCUACCAAGGCGACGAUCCAUAGCUGGUCUGAGAGGAUGAUCAGCCACACUGGGACUGAGACACGGCCCAGACUCCUACGGGAGGCAGCAGUGGGGAAUAUUGGACAAGGGGCGAAAGCCUGAUCCAGCAAUGCCGCGUGAGUGAUGAAGGCCUUAGGGUUGUAAAGCUCUUUUACCCGGGAUGAUAAUGACAGUACCGGGAGAAUAAGCUCCGGCUAACUCCGUG
rnacentral:rRNA from 1 species